GACGAACGCUGGCGGCGUGCUUAACACAUGCAAGUCGAACGGAAAGGCCCUGCUUUUGUUGGGUGCUCGAGUGGCGAACGGGUGAGUAACACGUGAGUAACCUGCCCUUGACUUUGGGAUAACUUCAGGAAACUGGGGCUAAUACCGGAUAGGAGCUCCUGCUGCAUGGUGGGGGUUGGAAAGUUUCGGCGGUUGGGGAUGGACUCGCGGCUUAUCAGCUUGUUGGUGGGGUAGUGGCUUACCAAGGCUUUGACGGGUAGCCGGCCUGAGAGGGUGACCGGCCACAUUGGGACUGAGAUACGGCCCAGCCUCCUACGGGAGGCAGCAGUGGGGAAUAUUGCACAAUGGGCGGAAGCCUGAUGCAGCAACGCCGCGUGCGGGAUGACGGCCUUCGGGUUGUAAACCGCUUUCGCCUGUGACGAAGCGUGAGUGACGGUAAUGGGUAAAGAAGCACCGGCUAACUACGUG
rnacentral:rRNA from 1 species